rnacentral:rRNA from 1 species
CCAGACUCCUACGGGAGGCAGCAGUGGGGAAUAUUGCACAAUGGGCGCAAGCCUGAUGCAGCAACGCCGCGUGAGCGAAGAAGGUCUUCGGAUCGUAAAGCUCUGUCCUUGAGGAAGAAGGAAGUGACGGUACUCAAGGAGGAAGCCCCGGCUAACUACGUGCCAGCAGCCGCGGUAAUACGUAGGGGGCAAGCGUUAUCCGGAUUUACUGGGUGUAAAGGGAGCGUAGGCGGUUUAGCAAGUCAGAAGUGAAAGCCCGGGGCUCAACUCCGGGACUGCUUUUGAAACUGUUGAACUAGAUUGCAGGAGAGGUAAGUGGAAUUCCUAGUGUAGCGGUGAAAUGCGUAGAUAUUAGGAGGAACACCAGUGGCGAAGGCGGCUUACUGGACUGUAAAUGACGCUGAGGCUCGAAAGCGUGGGGAGCAAACAGGAUUAGAUACCCUCGUAGA